rnacentral:lncRNA from 1 species
UGUAUAACCAGGACACUGCAGAAAUUACAAAGUGGGAUUUCUGGGGCUAAGUCAUAAAAGACACUGUGACUUUCAUCCUGUUUACUCCUGGAUCAUUCACUCUGGGGGAAGCCAGCUCUUAUGUCAUGGGGACACUCAAGCAGCCCUAUGAGCCGUCUUGGAAGAAAAUGUUCCAGCUGAGUCAAGCCUUCAGUUGUUUUUGCUGGAUGUGGUGGCUUACGUCUGUAAUCCCAGCACUUUGAGAGGCUAAGGCCAAA